GUGAAAGACGGUCUUGCUGUCACUUAUAGAUGGAUCCGCGCUGCAUUAGCUAGUUGGUAAGGUAACGGCUUACCAAGGCAACGAUGCAUAGCCGACCUGAGAGGGUGAUCGGCCACACUGGAACUGAGACACGGUCCAGACUCCUACGGGAGGCAGCAGUAGGGAAUCUUCCGCAAUGGGCGAAAGCCUGACGGAGCAACGCCGCGUGAGUGAUGAAGGUCUUCGGAUCGUAAAACUCUGUUAUUAGGGAAGAACAUAUGUGUAAGUAACUGUGCACAUCUUGACGGUACCUAAUCAGAAAGCCACGGCUAACUACGUGCCAGCAGCCGCGGUAAUACGUAGGUGGCAAGCGUUAUCCGGAAUUAUUGGGCGUAAAGCGCGCGUAGGCGGUUUUU
rnacentral:rRNA from 1 species